rnacentral:rRNA from 1 species
UACGGAGGGGGCUAGCGUUGUUCGGAAUUAUUGGGCGUAAAGGGCGCGUAGGCGGCCUGACAAGUGGAAGGUGAAAUCCCCAGGCUUAACCUGGGAACUGCAUCCGAUACUGGAUGGCUUGAAUCCGGGAGAGGGAUGCAGAAUUCCAGGUGUAGCGGUGAAAUGCGUAGAUAUUGGGAGGAACACCAGUGGCGAAGGCGGGUCUCUGGGCCGAUACUGACGCUGAGGAGCGAAAGCGUGGGGAGCGAACAGG